GACGAACGCUGGCGGCGUGCUUAACACAUGCAAGUCGAACGGUAAGGCCCUUCGGGGUACACGAGUGGCGAACGGGUGAGUAACACGUGGGUGAUCUGCCCUGCACUUCGGGAUAAGCCUGGGAAACUGGGUCUAAUACCGGAUAGGACUCCUGGCUUCAUGGUUGGGGGUGGAAAGCUUUUGCGGUGAGGGAUGGGCUCGCGGCCUAUCAGCUUGUUGGUGGGGUAAUGGCCUACCAAGGCGACGACGGGUAGCCGGCCUGAGAGGGUGACCGGUCAGACUGGGACUGAGGUACGGCCCAGACUCCUACGGGAGGCAGCAGUGGGGAAUAUUGCUCAAUGGGCGCAAGCCUGAUGCAGCGACGCCGCGUGAGGGAUGACGGCCUUCGGGUUGUAAACCCCUUUCAGCUAUGACGAAGCGCAAGUGACGGUAGUAGCAGAAGAAGGACCGGCCAACUACGUGCCAGCCGCCGCCGUAA
rnacentral:rRNA from 1 species